CUGCUUUACUGGAAUUCUACAAAA
rnacentral:piRNA from 1 species